rnacentral:lncRNA from 1 species
CUGUUGAUAUUGUUACCUUUAAUACCGUCAUCCAUUCCUGUUGUCACUUGAAUACACUUGAUUAUGCCUUUUCGUUGCUUGCUGGAAUCAUCAAGAGUGGUUGGGUACCCGAUGUCUUUACCUACAACACUCUCAUCAAGGGCCUUCUAUCUCAAGACAAGCCUUUGGAGGCUGGGGAUUUGUUUAAGAAGCUUAUCACAUUUCAAGAAAUUCAGCCCAAUGUAGUUAUGUAUAACACCAUCAUUGAUGGUCUCUGCAAAACUUCAAAUACCUCCAUGGCUCUCAAGUUAUUAAGAAAGAUGGAGGAGAUAGGUUGUAACCCCGAUGCGGUAACUUAUAACUCCAUUAUUGAUUCUUUGUGCAAAGAGAGACGAGUCGAUCAAGCAUUGGUUCUUGUGUCUGAAAUGACCGGCAAAGGCAUACCACCCAAUGUUAUAACAUAUAACACGCUACUUCAAGGCCUUUGCAGCUCCGGCCGAUGGGAGGACACUGAGUGUUUGUUAACUGAGAUGGGUGUUAGGAAGAUCUCUUCAGAUUUGCACACCUAUAAUAUAUUAGUCGAUGCAUACUGCAAAGAAGGGAGGACAACAUAUGCAGAAGAUGUGAUUGAAAUUAUGAUCCAGAAAGGUGUGCCUCCUGAUUCAAUCACAUACAAUGCACUGAUGGAUGGUUAUUGUUUAACAGGCAAAAUGGACAGGGCACUAGAGGUGUUGAAUUACAUGAGGAGUAAUGAGAUAUGGCCAGACUGUUAUAGCUAUACCAUUCUGAUAAAUGGCUAUUGUAAGAGGCAGGAACUAGACAAAGCCAUCAGUCUCCUCAGACAAAUGUCUGCUGAAGGUCUGAAACCUGUAGUUGAAACCUACAAUACACUGAUGCAUGGUCUCUUUCAGAUGGGCAGACAUAAUGAGGUGGACAACCUUUUCCAUGAAAUGCUAAAAGAAGGUAAUAAACCAAAUAUUGUGACAUGUCGAAUUUUGUUGGAUGGCCUUUGCAAGAACCGAUACAUGGAUGAAGCAAUUUCCUUCUUUCGAGUGAAUGAAUGUAAAGGUAUAGUUCAUGAUAUUCAAAUACAUAAUAUCCUAAUUGAUGGUCUCUGCAAGAACAGAAAACUUGACGAGGCCAGAAAUAUUUUUGAUAAGCUUGCUUCGAGUGGUCUGCAACCCAAUGUCAUGACACACAAUAUAAUGAUCAGAGGACUGUGUCAAGAAGGGUUAUUUGAGGAAGCAAAGGAAUUACUUUCUAAAAUGGAAACAAGCAUUUGUUUGCCUGAUGAUGUGACCUAUAAUAAGAUCAUCCGUGGAAGUCUUUUGAAUAAAAGAUAUGAAGAAGCAGCGGCUCGUAAAUUCUCAGAAGAUGCAUCCACCACAUCCAUGGUACUAGACCUAUUAUCUAAAGAACAGGACCCCUCCGUUCUUGCUUUCUGCAAAUGGUUUUUGCAAUAGGUACUGAAGUUUAUGGUUCAUUGUUAUGUAUUGUAUUGUCAUCUUUUAACUUCCUUAAGUUUUCUGCUGUAGUAAUAUGUUUUACUGAGCAAAGAAUUACUCUAAUUAGCAAUGUAAGGGGUUGCAUCAGUUUGUUAAGAGCUAAUAGACAAUAUAUUUGGGAUGGUAAGACUAUGUCUUCUAUUUGUAUUGAGUACGGUCUAUGUUCAAGUUGUCAUUCAGAAUUGAAACUUUGCAUCUCGAUGCCUCUCAUAUACAGAAAAAGAAAUCAGCAUUUGAAAAUAAUAAAAGAAGCCUAUGUAUUCAGAUAACUUUAUUCUGGAUAUACUCUCUAGCCCAUAUUUUGGCUUUCACAAACAAGCUCAUUUUUGAUAACAUAUUGGCAUUUUUCACCAUGGUGAGAGGGUAUCCAUUUAACAGUAAUAACAAGGUAACCACUAGAUUGGUGACAGGUUAGGUCCAGUUAUUGUAAGUUCAUCACCAUAUUUGAUUGAUAUUUACUGUUAUUUCCUAUGAUUGUGGCAAUUUGCUUCUCUUGCUCUACUUCAUGCUGGUCUUGCCUAUCACUGCGGAAAGUCAGCAGUUGCUGUUGGCCUCGUAUUGUUGCUGAAGUCGGCAUCUAUUCGGAUAUCUAAGAAUCUAAGGUUGUGUUCACUUGGAGUGAAUGGAAUGGGGGGAGAAUGAAAUGAAUUUUGUACUCAAAAAUGGUGUUGAUCAAAGAAAAUGUAUACAAUUUUCAUUCCUUCAAUCAUUUCAUCCCUACUAUUUUAACUAAAAUUCUAUCCUACAUGUUUUGGAAGGAAUGCUCAUUCCAUCUCUACAUCAUAUUUCUUUACAAUCUUUAUCACAAAAAAAUUGAACUCAUUCAUAUUUAGUCACUAUUAGCUCAUACUUUCUUCUUUCUCUACAAAAUUUCUAUAUAAUUUUUCAUUCCAUUCUCCCCUCAUUCCAUUCCAUCCAAGUGAACACAGCCUAAGGGUGUGUGGGGAUUGUCAUAUUGCAAUGACAUAUUUAAAAAAAGGUUUUUGAGAGUCAUAAUAUAUUAAGGGACUCAAAACUGUUCCCAGCAUUUCAAUGAAGAAAAAUGUUCUUGUGGUGAUUACUAGUACGAAGUUCUUAUAAUGUAUUUCCUCUCCAAUUUAUAUCUUGGUCAAGAGAAUGGAGGGAUCCAUUCCUUAACUCAUUGGUGUAUGAUAUAGACAUUGCAAAAUCAAACUCUGCUUGCACCCAUCCCGCUUUAACGUGAAGACGUAAGAUCACAAUCUUCCUGCUUUGUUAUGGCCCCUGCAGCUAAAUGUGUAUUCAGGUUAAAUCUGAAGGCACUGGAUGCCUCCCAUGACAGUUGAACAGGAGCGUAAUGUACAAUGGCACUGAGUUACAUUGAAGGUAUGUCAAAACUUUUUUCUUUUGACAAUUACAUAGCCCAGUAGAAAUAGUGUGUAGUGCAAAACUAAUGAAAAUGCGAUUGAUAAGUAAACAGAAUGGAAGGCAAAUUCAGUUUUCUUGUACUGAAUUUUGGUUCUUAUCAUCAUAUACCAGAGUAAUAUGCGACAAAAGCAAAUCAUUUGAUCCGUAAAUAUUUCUUAAAUAUCGGCUCUUGGAGUGUUUAUCUCAUCCUAUCAAUUUCCAGUGCAAUAUUAUUACCGUAUUGAAGCAAUGACUGAUAUAUCUUGACAUUUAAAUGCCAUAAUCGCUGAACUGACAGAUCAUUUCAUAAUCUGUGCACCACAAUUCCGAAUUAAUUUACCCAGCUAAUAGCGAAUGUGCUAUUGCUUGAAGAAAUAUCACAGACUUAAAAGCAUAUUUCAUGUUUUUUAGAAUAAAAAAUUAAAGUUUAGUAGAAAAAACAUGCACACAUCAGCAUAUAUAAAGCAUUUCAAGUUCACUUAUAUAAGAAAAUAUUUCAAAUUUAAUGGAGUUUUUAAUUGCUGACAAGGACAAGUAGUACAACAAUACACAAUUCACACAGUCUUCAGAAACAGCAACAACAUAAAAUGCAAACAACACUUUGUAGUUUGUAGUACCAAAUUCUUCCAAAUGCCAGCUUUGCUUUCCAGGCACAUAGUCCUUACACCCUGCUCCCGAGUUUUAAGUAGGGAGGAAAGCAAGUGAAGAGGAAGUAAAAUUAUCUAACUUUCACUCCUAUUCGUGCUCCCGAGUUUUUUAAAGGGACGAAAGCAAGUGAAAGUGAGUGCAAAUAUAGCAUAUUUUCACUCCAAAAGUGGGAUGAAAGUGAAAGCAACUUGCUUUCACUUACAUUCACUUGCUUUCCCUCCUAAAAAAAACUCGGGAGCAAGACCUUAGAGUCGCUAGCUGACCAGGAUCUGCAGAGAGGAAUAUUUUUUGGAUUGACGCGGACUUUCACUCCUCCUGAAACCAAAUAAUUGUUGCAAGGAUCUACUGUAACAGUUUUAGGCCUUAUGGAUACAUUUUUCAGCCGUUGCAACAGGUGAAAUAUGGUGUAGUGUGUAUUUACAAGUACACACUUUACAUUUAACUCUUUUAAUUAUUUCCAUAUAAAAGUGUAAAUUGAUUCUAUGUAUAUUAUUUUACUUAUUGGUUUGAAACUCUUCAAAUAUUUUUUAAUAAAUAAUUGUUAAAUAUUAACAUAUAUUUAUAUUUUAAUAUUUAGAUUACAAGUUAAAUGUCAAAUGUAAGGAUAUAUCAAAUUUAAACAAGUCAAAACUCGUUUCAAAAUUUAUUAGUUACAAAUAAAAUAUGUUGUUAUUAUAGGUAUGCAAAAUUCAUACUCAAUUAGAUCGACUAAUCACGAAAUUUAGAUCAAUUUAAAAUGACAUAAUUCGAGUUGUCAUUUUAAAUUUUCAACUUUAUGUUAGUAUGAUUAAUGCUACGUAUCCAAAUCUUCUCGCAAAAUUACGCAAAUAAAAUAUUUUAAUUGGAUGGUUUAUGUGCAUACAAAAGUCAUGUUAUUAGAAAAUUUUGAGAAUAAUUUUUGAGUAUUUACUAUUUUUCUACUAGUAUUUAAUGUGUUGGAAAAACACAAAUCCAAGGUGUAUUUAAACAUUUCAUUUGAUGAAAUCUAGAAUUUAAAUGAAAUUGAAGUGUAAAAAAUAUUACAAACUCAAUGAAAGAUUUAAUUGCCAUGGAGUCGUGGAUACACUUCUUGAUAAUAGAAUCCGUGUAUAAAUAUAACAGUUCACAAUUCACACAAACUUGAGAAAUAGCAGCAACAUAAAAUGAAAACAAACAAACAACGAUAAUUUGUUGCAUGAUCUUAACAAACAAAACAUGAAUGGACAAUCAAAAUGAACACUUCCAAGCCUGAACAAAGGCAUGCACAAUCACAAUCUCCAACAUAUAAUCAAUUCAGAACAAAAUCUUAUUCCACACUAAAUUAUAACGAGUAGUAGGUGAUUCUUCCGAAUAUACGGUACUAAAUUAUAACGAGUAGUAGGUGAAAGAAAUUUGUGAGUCCUCGCUAACAAACUAGGACCGAGAGGAAUAAUUUUUGGAUGUCUUUCUCCCCUCCUGCAGCAAAUAUAGCAAGUAGGAGGGUAAAUACGAGGGAGGAUGAAACGAAUAAAUAAACACAAGAGAUGAAAGAGUAUCACCGUGUAAAAAGACUGCGGAACCAACUAUACAGAACUACAACUUACUGUUUGAUAGUUGCUCCAAUUAUUCUAUAGAUACUUCUCUAAUAUACAUGCCCUUGAUGACUUCCGGAUCAUCUCCCAGCAAACUUGUUUCACCAGCGUACCACCCCCCACGUUGCAUUAAGGCUGAUCUAUGACUCCAAUUAUACACGGAAGUAAUACAUUUUUCAGAUAAAGAAGCAGUACGUGACCUUAUGGGUUGUUUCGAGGUAAUUGUUUGAAACAUGCUCUUUGACAUGUGGAAAUCUCGCAGCUUCACAUAUCAUUAUGGCCAACUUUAUAAUAUGAUUAGCGGUUUCUCUCUCGUUCUCACCAAAUGAGGACUUGGUGAGAUACUCGACUGCUUCUGUGAAGGCUAGUCUGUUCAACUUCACUUCUGCCAAACGAUCCUUCACAGCUUUGAUUUCAGCAUCUGCUCUAACACUCUGCAUCAUGAAAUUAAAGACAUUAUACUUUUCUUUAAGCUCUUUAUAGAACUUAGCCUGCUUCUCUUCGUUCACCGCUUUAUGAUAUUGUUCUUUCAGUUUAGUUUUUUUUGAAAAAAAACCUUCCCGUGUUUCGUCAUUGGUGGGGUUCGUUUCUGGUGGUCCAUCAACUAUAUCAAAAUUUUUUUUUAGCAUUUUCUUCAGCUUGAACAGGGCUUCAUGUUCCUCUCUCCAGUUUUCUGUUUCCUUUACCCCAUCAGUAUCCAUUUUUCCAGCAGUCAAGCUACGCAAGAUGGCGACUUUCUUCUUGAACACCUUUCCCCACAAAAUUAGCGAUUCUUGGGAGAAGGGUUUCCUAUAUAAAGUACAAAAAUUGUUUACAUAAAAAUAAAGUAAUCAAAAUUUUGGUUAAUAAAAAAACCGUGAGAGUACCAUCACAGUUUAAGAACAAAACUCAAAGUAGUACCUCGGGCUGUCAUGUAUUUUCUGCAGCUUUUUAAUUAGCUUUUCAGCAAGGAUAUGAUCCGCUUGCGGCUUUUUUAAAUGAUUCAAAAAAUCUCGCGCUGCUUUGUUGUCAUCACCCUCAAGUUCUGUUUCUACAUGCUCACGGGUAAUUUCGUUUGGCACCAUUUUUAACAACGUGCUAACUCUUUUGAAAUCUCCAUUUUCCUCCGGGUUUGAAUGAUACCUUUCUAUAUUCAAUUUUAAUUCCGUCAAUUUUUCUUGGGCGUAUUUUAUGUUUCUCCCUUGUUCUCGCUUUGCUAUUCCUUGAAAGUUAUCCAAUCUCUGUAUCAAAUUCUCAUAAAGGUUUGACUCUCGCGCAGAUUCAUGAAAUGACGGAUCAUAUUUGCCAAACAAGUUAGUGUAUGAUGUACCCAGUGUAACCUUCUUUAGCGAGUCUGCAAUACAAAAACAAAAAGUCCGGGAUUAAAGAGAUGAAAAUCACGACGACACAAAAUCAAAUCUGAACGAAAACUGUACCCGGUGUCAGGAGCCUGACAGACGCAGCAACUUUCUUAUGGUUUUUCCCAUCUAGAACAAUCCAGUUUUCAGCACUCACCUUUCCAUCUUUUUCCUUAUAUUUACCCUUGUACCCGACUAAGUAGAGAUUAUUUUUCUUUAUCAAAAUGUCCAAAUCGCGAUCGUCAUGCUUUAACCUUAAUUGGAAAAGCCAAUCCGCUUUCCCAUUCUUAUCCGUCAACUCAUCUUUCUUAUAUGUUCGCCGAACUCUCUUCAUGUCAGUGUCAGGGGCCUUACCUCCAAGGAGCUGUGACUCGAAACAUUUUUCAAUUUUCGGUUUCAAGUCUAUAUCAAGAAACUCUUCAUGAAAGCCCACGUCAUCAAGGCUUUUAAAAUCUCUCUUUACAUCACUUAGCGGAAAUUUCUUAAUUAAGCUUCCGAUGAACUCUUCGUACUCAUCUCCGUCUUCGUUAUCAAGGUAUAGAGUAAGCGGUUCAGAUGAAAACUCAUUGUGCUUAGUAGUAUUUGCCAUAUAAGCUUAAAGAGUUAAAGAUAUUAGAGAACAAGUGAAGAAAGAUGGUCUGUUUCUUCUCUUGAUUAAACCAACACAAUUUAUUGUUUUUACAAAGCCAUCUAGAUCCUACACCCAGAGUCUGCAAAAUACUAGUAUUAAAUUGUAUGAAGCCUGUGUCAUUUUUAUUUUAAUACAAACUAGUUUAUACGUUCUUUCAAUCUAUUCGAAACUAAUUGGAAUGUCUUCCAAUAAUUUCGAAAUGAAAAAAGAAGAAGGUAAUUUUGAAUUUUUUUUGCAAUAUAUCUAACUAAAAAGUAAUUUUUAUUUUUGAUAUUUAAAAUUCAGAAAUUCAAGAAAAUUAGAAAAAUAUAACGGAGCUAUCUGAGACGCGCUACCUGAUGAACACCUCGCUUCUAAUUAUAUUGAUUGACUAGUUGAGAAGCCGCGCGUUGCGGCGAUCUAUUGAAAUUAUAUUAAUCAUUCAAAAUUAAUAUUUGUAGAAUAAAAUAAAUUUUAUGAUAUAAACAUCUCAAUGCAAUACAAAUAUUAAUAUGUAAAAUUGGACUAUAAUUCAUGAGUGAAAAAAUGAAACUAAGUCAAACAUGCACAGGUGUUUCCGGAUUUAUAAGCUGAAGCCACAAGGAGCUGAGAGGUAGAUGUCAUAUAAGCUUGAAGAUGUUAGAAAUGAAGUGAAGGAAGAUAGUUUGUUAUUACAGGUCUUUCCGGAUUCAACACCAGCAAGUCUGCAACUACUAAUAAACUAAACUACAGAAUGCCAGUUGAUAUUUAAUAUACAAAAGGUGAUUGUGAAGUUUUGGCUUUUUGGUGUAUGAUUGAUAUUGGCUUAUUAAACAAACCGGAGCCGGCGAAAACCAAGGCUUCAACAAACAUAAACAAAAAAAGAUGAUGUGUUUCUCUUGGUUAACUAACACAAUUUAUAGUAGUUUUUACAAGCCAUCUACAUCCUACACCUGCAAGUCUGCAGAAUACUAGUAUAAAAUUGUAGGAAUCCUGUAUCAUUUUUAUUUCAAUACAAAUUAUAAGUAGUUGCCUUUGUUUUGGCUUGUGCAGUCACACACCCAUAUAUUUAUAUUCGGGUUAGUUAGAAAUUAUAUAAAAUAUUGGGAAAAAGUAAUAAAAUGAUGGCGAUUAAUUAGUUUGUUAAUCACAGUAGUCUAUCAUGGAAAUGAAGAUAUUGAUGGAGUAUAUGCCGAUAUAAUAUAAAAGUAGAGAUUUCAUUAUAAUCAACUAUAUAUUAUUAAUUUAUAAUACAAAUUAGACUGAUAUAGUUAAUAUUUAAAAGUGUAUGAACAAACAAAACAUGAACUGACAAUUCAAACAAAAUGCAUGAUCUGAACAAACAAAACAUGAACAGACAAUUCAAACAAACGGUACCGAUAGAUCCCAAACAAACGCAUGCACAAAUCAGUGAUCAACAUUGAAUCACUCAUAACACAAUCUUAUUCCAUACUGAAUUAAAACGAAUAGUAGGAGAUCCUUCCGAAUAUAGGGUAGCUUUGUUUUCGAGGCACAUAGUCCAUAUAGUCGCUAACAGACCAGGAUCUGCAGGGAGGAAUAUUUUUUGGAUUGACUCAGACUUUCUCGCUUCCUGCAGCAAAUACAGCAAGUAGCAGGGUUGAUACUAUUGCAAGCUUGAUAAGAACAUCUUGGGGUGACAUUCUGAGAUCACGAGACUAGCAAUAGCUGACAAUUGGAGCACAAUUAGUAAAGUAACGUAGUUUUUUUUUUUGAUGUAGCUGAGAAUUUUAUUUUGCUUUUUAAUUAUUAUAUACCCAUUGUUAAUUCUGAAACUCGGUGAUUAAUUACGAUUAAUCUUUGUUUCAUAUUUCGUCGAACUCAUUAAAUCUCCAAUUAUUCAAUUAAUCAUCAGAUCAAUCUUCGAUCAAUCCAAUUCAUCUUCGAUUAAUCCUUAUUAAUCCCCAUGUAGUCACCGAUUAAGUCUAAUUCUUGCUUUUUAUAACCAUGUAUAUAUAUCAUAUAUAUAUAUAUAUAUGUUCACAAGAGAUACUAAUGAUUUAUGACGUCAUUUGUUCUAGUAUUUUUUUUAUUUUUUUAGUAAAAGCACUUGCAUUCAUUAAAUCAUAUCCAAACUCAGAUCAAGGAACUAAGGUGGAGUGACAUACCACUCCCCUUCGUCUGACAUAGAAUAGGCAGCUUUGGCAAGCCUAUGAGCUACCGUAUUCGCAGAACGAUAAAUAAAAACAACUAGCACUUGAUUUACGUGCUUAACUAACUGAAUACAAUUCAUCACAAUGGUACCAAAGAAAGCUUCUCCCUGCCCACCAUUACAUGCAGCAGCUAGAGCAGAUGAUGAUGUUAGAAUAUUAUGUCAGCUUAUUAGUAUUUUCAUUCAUUUUCUUUUUCUCCACGGGUGCCGGAGAAGAUGAAUUAAUUGUCACGGGGAAGUAAAAGGUUAUGCUAGUAGAAGAGUCGCACUUCAGACAAAUAUUCUCGGUUGUAUAGAUCUUUGUGCUAGUCCAUCAACAAUUAAAUCUCUGUUAAUUAAUAAUUGAUUAAUAAUAAUAUUGUAAAAAUAAUACUUUUUCCUGAUUUCAAUAAAAUUACUAUAACGAAGACAAUACUUCUAUAAAAUAAUAAAGUCGAUGAAUUAUAUUUUUCCUCUUCAUCCCAGUAUUAUUUACUUUAAAGAUCCACAACUUCUUAUAAACAUCCAAAGUGAGAUGGUGCCCUCCUACACUUGAGGUUGAACAAUGUGUUGAUAAAACAUGAUUAACUAAUAACACGUGAACUAGAGAUUUGUGGUCCCAACAUAAUGUUGACAGUACAUAUUUAACUUCGAUUGCCCUGACAUUAAUAAUUUGUACGUGGUCCGAACAUAAUGUUUGUGAAAACCGAUAUGUGCUUAAAAUUUCACCGGUGAAUGAUCACUACGAAAAUGUAGUGCAAUUCACACGGAGUCCUGAGAAACAGCAAAAACAUAAAAUGGAACCAACAAUGAUUUGUUGCAUGAUCAAAAUAAACAAAACAUGAACAGACAAACAGAAUGAACAAUUCCAAUCCCAAACAAAAGCAUGUAGAAAUCACAAUCAACAUUGAAUCAACUCAGAACACAAUCUUAAUUAUUUCACACUGAAUUAAAAUGAGUAGUACUAAAUUCUUCCAAAUGCCAGCUUUGCUUUCCAAGCACAUAAUCCAUAGAGUUGCUAGCAGACCAGGAUCUGUAGAGAGGAAAUUUUUUUGAUUGACGCGGACUUUCUGGCCUCCUGCAGCAAAUAUAGCGAGUAGUAUGGCAAAACAAGGGACGAUGAAACGAAUAAAUAAACACAAUAAAUGAAGAGUUUCACGUUGUAGAAAGACUGCAGAUCCAAAUAUUAUACAGAGCUAGAACUUACUAUUUGGUAGUUGCUCCAGUUACUCUUUGUCUCUCUUGUCUUUAUCCAUUUGCCUUAUGACUGUCGGAUUUUCUCCCAACAAACGUCUUUCAGCAUCGUACCACCCCCCACGUUGCAUUAAGGCCGAUCUAUCACCCCAAUAAUAUAUGGAAGUAAUACAGUUUUCAGGCAAAUUAGAAUCAGUGUGGGUUUCCUUGUGGUAAUAAUUGCAUGCAACAUGCUCUGCGAUAGAUUGAAAUCUCACAGCUUCACAUAUCAUCAGGGCCAACUUUAUAAUAUGUUUAGCGAAUUUUCUAUCUUCCUGAUCCAAUGAGGAGGCGGUGAGAUAAUUGACUGCUUUUAUGAAGGCUCGUCUGUUCAACUUUACCUUUGCCAAACGAUCCUUCACUCUUCUGAUUUCAUUGUCUACUUUAACACUUUGCUCUAUGAAUUUACGAUGCUGUCGCUCAGGGUUAUAAUCCUCUCGCGGCUCUUUUAAAUAAUUCAAAAAAUCUAGCGCUGCUUUGUCAUCAGCACCUAUAAGUUCUUUUACACGCUCAAGGGUAAUAUCUCUUGGCACCAUAGCUAACAAUGUGUCCACUCUUUUGAUCAAGUCUUUAUUAUCUUUUCCCUUCAGCCUUUCAAUUUGCUCUUUCAUUGCCUUCAAUUCUGUUACGGCGUCAGUUAUUUUUCUUUCUUUGUCUCUCCCUUUUCGUGCUAGAACCAUUUUCGACUUCUCUUCUUUCUCUGCACUCCGGUCUGCCUCUGGCUCAGAACCCUUAAAAGAUGGAUCAGAUAUGCCAAACAAUGCACUGUAUGAUGUACUCAGUUUAACUUCCUUUAGCGGGUCCGCUACACAAAAACACAAAGUCCAAAAUCAAAGAGAUGAAAAUCACGACGCAAAAUUAAAUCUGAACGAAAACUGGAUAUGACUUACUCGAUGGCGGAAACUUCUGGAAAGACUUAACAACUUCGCGAUGAUUUUUCCCAGUUAGAACAAUCCAGUAAUCAGCUUGCUCCGUUUCAGCAUUCACCGCUCCGUCUUCUUCUUUUUCUUUAUAUUUACCCUUGUACCCGACUAAGUAGAGAUUAUUUUUCUUUAUCAAAAUGUCCAAAUUGCGACAUUCAUGCUUUAACCUUACUUUGAGAAGCCAAUUCUUAUCCUUCAACUCCUCUAUACUACAGGUUCGUCGAACGCUUUCCUUUUGGCGAGUGCUUGCAGCAUUUCCAGGAAUUCCCGGAAAACAUUUUUCAAUUUUGGAUUUCAACUCUUUAUCAGCGCUCUCUUUAUCAAAGUUUCGAAGUUCUUUCUCUACAUCACAUGGCGGAAAUUCCUUAAUUAAGCUUUUGAUGAACUUUUCGUACUCAUCUUUUUCAUUUUUAUCAAGGUUUAGAGUAAGCGGUUCAUCAGAUGAAACCGCAGUGGGCUGAGAGGUAGAUGUCAUAUAAGCUUGAAGAUGUUAGCAAUAAAGUGAAGGGAGAUAGUUUGUUAUUACAGGUCUUUCCGGAUUUAACAACUGCAAGUCUUCAACUACUGAUAAACUUAAUAUAUAGAAUGCCAGUUGAUAUUUCAUAUACAAAAGGUGACUCUGAAGUUUUGGCUUUUUUGUUAAUAAACGAGGAAAAGAUGGUGUGAUCGAGAUUGGCUUAUUAUUAGUUACUAAAUAAACCGGAGCCGGGGAAACCAAGGCUUCAACAAACAUGAACAAAUGAAUACUAGUAUAAAAUUGUAGGAAUCCUGUAUCAUUUUUAUUUCAAUACAAAUUAUAAGUAGUUGCCUUUGUUUUGGGGUGCGCGGGCUGUUCAUACUGUCACACACCCAUGUAAUUUAUAUUUGGGUUAGUUAGAAAUUAUAUAAAAUAUUGGAAAAAAGUAAUAAAAUGAUGGCCAUUGAUUAUUUUGUUAAUCACAGAAGUCUGUCAUGGAAAUGAAGAUAUUGAUGGAGUAUGCGGAUAUAAUAUAAAAGCAGAGAUUUUAUUAUAAUCAACUAUUAUCAAUUAUAAUACAAAUGAGACUUAUAUAGUUAAUAUUUAGAAAAUAAUAACAAAAAUUGUGAAAUAAUAUUUUCUCAACCAAAUCUCAUAUAUAAGUUUCAAAAAUAAAAAUAGUCAAUAAAAAAAUUACAUUUUCCGAUUUCUCAUAUUAUGGUCCUUAAAUCGAAAAUCGGUACGAAAAAGCGUUUCUAACUUAUAAGCUGACAAGCCGCGCAAAAUACCAAAUAUAUUUUCAAAAUGCGGUCAUGUUUUAAUUAGUUAAAGUUAUACUAUCGACAUUGGCUCAUUGCAAUUUUGAAACCAUUCUUUUUGCAGCGGAAAACAUUGUGAACACUCGGUAUCCAAGUUAGGCAAAAUGUUCGACGUACUAGCCUGCAAGGUUUGUAUGCUAAACUUGCAUGUUCUCCAGGUGUAAGUAUUCACUUAUUACGCAUUUAGAGGAGGCAUUAUUAGUAUAAACUGAACACCUAUGCAAGCAAGUUGGACUCAUAGUUGCCAUGGACUAAGCACUACCCAAAAUGAGAUCUUUGCCCUUUGUUUUCAGCUAAUAACUACUUAGUUAUAGCAGAACCAGUGGAUGCAGUACGGUGUUCCAUGUUACUUAUACACAAAAAGGAGUAUAUAUAGCAUGUGUUUAUAUGUAUAUUAAUAUUAUCAUGUAUAUAAUGUGGCAAUAAAUAACUGUUUCAUCAGUGAAUACAAGUUCAUCGAGGAAAUCCUGGAUGAGGUUCAAAUUUAAAAUUUAUUUACCUAGAUUGAGUUUAACAAGUUAUGUCAGGGUACAAGGUAAAACUGAUUAGAAGGCUUAUAGAUUAGGAAGCAAAAGCCAAUUUAGACCUUUAUAAAAUACUUCCUUGACAACAACAAAAAAAUAUAUAGUUUGGGAAACGUACCUUCCUCGAUUAUAAUUUAAAUGCCCCAUGUCUCCAUUAUGAAUUAUUCUUACCCGUGUAUACGAAUAAGUCAAAAAUAAAAUAAAAUUAAUCAAUCCAAAAUACCUUUUCCUUGCACUAAAUUACAUUUUACAUUCUAAACUUUUAAUGGAUAUUUAUUUUUAUUAAAUUAGUAUUUGCCGAAGCAACUUUUUUAUAAGGGAAGAAUUGAAGAGAAAGUGCAAGUUUUGCUUUGUGCUCUCAGUCUUUUCCGUUGCUUGACAUGGGAAAAGAUUAACAUAUUGAUUCCUUAUCCAUGGAAUUAAUAUUUUAAUGUGUAAUGUAAUCUUCUAUAUAUGGUUGUUUAUGUUCAAAAGAACCAGUAUCCCUGUUAAAUCCUCAAAUCAUAUGUGGGUAUGUUAUUUAGUUGAGAUCGAGUGAUAAGAGUGGCCAUAUGCGUGUCAACCAUAAAAAUCAACCAGUUGCAGUAAGAUUCAGCAGCCCCUACGAAAUUAAAACUAAUAUGAUAAAUAGAAGUUAAUAUUAUAAUAAUAACGCUAUUGCUUACGUUAUUGUUGACAGAACCGAGGCCAUUGUGUUUAUGCCUAAAAUUCUUUGUCGAGAAUAUUUGAUUAUUUCCUUACAUUAGUUCAGGUACAACCAAAUCUAAUGUCUUCAAUGUGCCUUCUUCGGGGAUACUACCUACUGGACACUCAAAACAGUCAAUUCAAUGCGGCAGAUAUAUAUAGGUGAGACAAGCACUGCAGGUAACUUCUAAUGCCCUUGAUAUAUUUUAGCAUUUAUAAAACAGGCCAUUGUGUUUGCGUUAAUUCACAUGGGCAAGAUUAAUGUUUGUGGCAGUAGAACACUAUACGUUUUAGAGUAAUUGACACUUUGCAACUAUACGUUUUAGAGUAAUUGACACUUUGCAACCCACAAGUUUAAGCGGUUUUUGAUUUGGUCUCAAAUAAAUUUUUUUGUCAAUAUACACCAUAAUGUUUAAAAAGCGCUUCAAUAUGCACCCUUUUGACUAUUUUCCGUCAAGUUGACUGUUACAAUUAACGGCUGCAGGGGUAAAAUAGUAAUUAUGUAGACUUUCCUCUUCUAUUUUUUCCAUACAAAAUUAUUAUUUUACCCUUGCAGCCGUUAAUCUUAACAGUCAACUUGACGGAAAUAGUUAAAAGGGUGUAUAUUGAAACGCUUUUUAAACAUUAUGAUGCAUAUUGAUAAGAAAUUUUGUUUGGGACCAAAUCGAAAAAACGCUUAAACUUAUGGGGCGUAAAGUGUCAAUUACUCUAUGUUUUAUUUGAUACAUGAGGCACCCAACAUGGAAAUAGUAUCAUGUAUUAUAAUAGCGACACCGGGAUAUUAUAUAUACAUAGUGAAAAAGGGGAAUGGCGAAAAAAGUUGUGCAGCAACUUUGACUCUUGUGCCUAAAUUGCAUUUUAAUUUUAAAGGCACUCCAACUGACACUCAUUGGGGUCUCUAAGAAAAUUCAAACAAUAUUGAUGGUUGAAAGAUUAAAAUAUCCAUUUAACACAAUUCGAAAAUAUAGAAAAAUAGGGGUGUUUAAUUAGCAUCUUGGGAAAAAAAUGGAAUUCUAGCUAAUAUUAUGCGAUGCAUGUGCCAUGCCGUGUCUUGUAUUAUAUUAUGCACAGUAUUCUUUCUUUCUUUUUUUUGCUAAACUAUGCACAGUAUUCUUAAUAAACCAGUUGUACAAUUGAAAAUAAAAUAUAGGUUGUUGAGCAACUUCCCAGCAAAGGAUUUACCUAAUAUAAUGCAUUCUGUAUUGCAUAACGGUGACUUUUGACAGAGGGGACUUCGCAAGGGGAUUUCUCAUCUGGAGGUUCAAGCUUGAAAGAAGUUCCUGCCAUUAAUCAAGCAGAUGGAGGAACAACCGCUCCAAGUAUGUUUUUCAGGUAACUGGACAAGUAUAUCAUAACAUUGGAUCUUUGAUACCACCUGAUGGACGGACCCCGAAAUUUACACAAUUAUGUAUGAUGGAUGUGACUAUGUGAGGCAAAUGAGCAUGAUGCAUUAACGGAAAGUAGUUUCUUGAAAUCACAUUUCGCUUGACAUUGGAUAAAUUGAUGGAAAGAAGAACGAUGAGCGUAUUUGCUGCAUGUAUACAAGUUAAUUUUAUUGCUUACCAAAGUAAAAAUUUAAAAGUUUAGAAUUUCUUGGUUUAUAAACCGCGCAAGUUUAUGAUCAAGGAAAAAAUGUUUUUUUAUUACUCUAUGUCGCGAAGCUUUUGUUAUAGAUAUACUACGUCUCCUGAUGUUAAGAAGUUGGUAAAAAAAAGUUUGUCCCCCCUUAUGCAUUACUCUCUGCAUCCGCCACUGUGAGCAUCGGAUUAAUUUUACAGGGAAAAGGGGGGAGAGGGAAAAGGGGGGAGAUUGAUAGGCUGAUUAUUACAACUCUCGAUAGCAUGCUCAGUCGUAACAAUGUGCUAGUGGGAAUAUUCAGCCAAAUAAGACAACAAUUUAAAAAUGUGGUAGCUAUUCCUGUACGCUUGAAAUUGAGAGACGCACAACUGAGGCCGUUUUCAUAGUAAUCAGACUCAAGAUGAUUAUGAAAUUGAGCAUAUUCAUGUUGAAUGCAUUUGAAUUCGCAGGUCUUGCCAUAGAUAUCGACUUUUGCACAGUCAUUCAGAAUAAAGCAGUUGGAUUGCAGCAUAUUAGUGAUGAGCUGCAUAUAUCCCUGUUAUAUGUCCUUGCAAUAUCCCCUUCUAUUCUCGUUCGGUUUUUCCGAAUAACUUUAUUUAUAUAAAAAAAGGUUAAACAACAAUCCGUCGAUUUCAUGAUACAACGUUUCGAAUUAGCGUCUUGGGUCUUGCACGGGCUUUUAUACUAGUUUAUACUUAUUGCAUGACCAACUCAUCUCCCUCCAAUAAUUAUAAAAAUAAUAUAUUACUUUUAAGAUAUAGCUAACAAUUAUAACUAAUUGUAUUGGAGGAAAAACGUUAACGGCACAGAUUUAUGCAUAUUUAAUGGAAGUUGUACACACUAUUUUCGCGGGUUAAUAUAAUGGGGUGCGAUUUGAAUUAUUCAUAGUUGUUGUAAAAAAAUCGUUUUUGAACGAAAAAUAAUGGGAUAUGAUAUCAAUUACCUCUAAUGUGUUUCUCUUGGUUAAACUAAAUCAGUUUAUAGUUCUUACAAGUCAUCUUUAUUUAACUGGAAUUUUAAUGAAUUAAUAAUAAUUUUUAAAUUUUAAAAGAUUGUUUAUGAUUUUAAUUAUUCAAUAAAUUUAUAUUAAUUUAUAAAUUUAAUAAAUUAUAUCUUACUUUUAUAUUUCUACAAAUUUCUGAUAAAAUGUCAUAAAAAUUAUAAAUAAUAACUGAGAUAACGCAACUCCUACCAAUGAUGAGGCCGUUAAUGUUAGUGUUCGAACCUAACAGGGGGAACACAACACUAUCAUAUGUGUUCAACCUUGUUAAUAUCAACCGCACAAUGACAUGUUACUCCGUCGCUCAUUCUUAUACAACUUUUUUCAUUACUUGUCGCGUAUUUUAUGGAUUUUAUAUAAUAUAGUUCAAUAAUUUAUUACUAUAUUUUUUGUUUAUAUAUGAAUUAAAACAUAAAUAUUAUUUUUUAUUAGAAAAAAAUUUAAAAUUGAUUAAUAAAAAUAUAAAAAAUUCUUAGAAUACGUAUCAAGCCCUUCGAGUCAACGUAUACAACUCAAUGGUAAGUGUUCCACUCUUGCACAUUAAAAUGUAUGCAAAAAGUCAAGCGUCAUAUAAUAAAAGAGAGAGAGAGUAUAUUUCACACCAAAGUCUUCAAAAAAGCAUCAACAUGAAAUGGAAACAAUCAAACAAUGAUUUAUUGCAUGAUAUGAACAAACAGAACAUCUAACACGCAAUUCAAACAAAAACACGCACAAAUCACGGUGAUCAACAUUGAAUCAACUCAGAACACAAUCUUAUUCCACAGUGAAUUAAAACGAGUGGCAGGAGAUUCUUCCAAAUAUAUGUUAGCUUUAUUUUCGAGGCACAUAGUCCAUGUAGUCGCUAACAGACCAGGAUCUGCAGAGAGGAAUAUUUUUUAGUCAGAUUUCCUCGUCUCUUGCAGCAAAUACAGCAAAUAGCAGGGUAAUUACGAGGGAGGAUGAUAAGAAUGAAGAUUAUCAAAAUUAUACACAACUAGAACUUACUGUUUGAUAGGUACUCCAGUAGUUACUAUUUAAUUGCUUCUUCGUCAUCCAUGUCUUUGAAAACUGACGGAUCUUCUCCCUUCAUAGGUGUUUCACCAGCAUACACCCACCCACGUUGUCUAAAGGCCGAUCUACUACUCCAAUUAUACACGGAAGUAAUACAAUUUGCACACAGAAUAGCAGUGCCAUGGGUUUCAUCAUGGGUUUCAUCCAUGUGGUAAUUGUUUGCAACGUGCUUCUUAAUAUUUGGAAAUCACCGUUUUGUGGAAUUCAAUGUGGAAUCACCGUACUCGUUUUAAUUCAGUGUGGAAUAAGAUUGUGUUCUGAGUUGAUUCAAUGUUGAUCACCGUGAUGUGUGCGUGUGUUUGUUUGGGAUUGGAACCGUUUGUUUGAAUUGCGUGUUAGAUGUUUUGUUUGUUCAUAUCAUGCAAUAAAUCAUUGUUUGAUUUUUUUUUUGAAACAAAGGUGUUAAUCUCAUAAUAAAAGGUCAUACGGCAUCUACACCAAUGAUCGAGUCGAACAGACAGUAUAUUGCCAUCCCGUGAUCUGACAAUGAGACAGUUAAACGAUAUUUUGAAGAAAAUGUAUGUACAAAUACAAGUACCCGCUUCAUGCAUUCUCGUUGAAUUAUGAUCUACUUAUAAGCUAACUCUAACACACACAUGUAGUCGGGUUAUUCUAGAUGGUUAAUUAUAAUAGGGUUCACUGCUUAUAAGCUAAAUCAAACGGGCACAUAUAGUCGGGUUAUUCUUUAAUUAUAAUAUAGUCGGGGUGUCUUAAUUUUAGAGUCUGAGGCUAACGCUUAUCUGCACAAUCCACACAGAGUCUUGGGAAACAGCAACAACAUAAAAAUGGAAACAACAAUGAUUUGCUGCUAAACAAACAAAUACAAUCAAAAUAGACAAUUCCAAUCCCAAACGAAGACACACACAACUCACAAUCCCAAACAAAGACAUGCACAAAUCAACUCUUAACACAAUCCUAUUCCACACCAAAUUAAAAUGUGAUCGAGUCCUCCGUCUCCAAACAUAUACAAUUGAAUAAAACGGAUUAAGUAUUAUAUAUUUACUACUGAACCUCAAAUAGAUGAAAAUUUAAAACAUGAAUUUUAAAGCUUUCCAUUUAAAGAGUAAAGCUAAUCCAAGUAACAAUGACCGAGCAUUUACUCGUCUACCGUCAGCUCUUCAUUUAAAUUGGUAAGGCUGCAUUGGUAUAGGGGCCGUUUGGGUGAGUUUAAAAUAAGUGCUACUUGCUUAAAAUAAAAAAGUGAAGUAGAAGUUAGAAACAUGUAAAGACUUAUAAGUGAUUAAAGUGUUUGGGAAAGAAGUAGAAGUCCUGAAACAAAAGUUAGCAUUCCUAGCAUAUAAGUGCUUCUUGACUUAUUACACAAAUGGUACAAAUCUAACUUAUAAACCCAGAGAUUGGGCUUUUAAACGCUCGCCAAACACCCACAUAGUCUAGCCGACAUGCAUAUGUAUCAGCAUAUACGAAGUAUCUCAAAUUUGUGAUUAGUUUUGAGAUUUUGAAAUAUGAUUAAAUAAUAUGUUUAGAUAUAAAAAAAAAGGUUGGAUCUAAAUUUCAUUUCAAAUUCAGGACUUUUAAAUGUUACACUACACCAAUUCUGGCCAUUUACGACGGAUAUCUUACGACGGAAUAAGCGGAGCGCAAAACUUACGACGGAACACAAACAUUCGUCGUAUUUUCUCGUCAAUACUUACGACGUACCAACCUUCCAUCGUAUGUUUUGCUAGAAUUCAGCCGCGCCCUAAUAAAAAAAUAAUAAAUUUUUUCCCGCGAAAAAACCGUCGAAAUUUAACCGUCGUAAGUUAACAUAUCUACCUAAAUAAAGACAAAAAAUAAAUGAAAAUAAAGUAUUUUCUUUUCCGUCGUAAAUACGCCGUCGUAAGUUCAUAUAAUUAUAUAAUUAUAUCUAUUUUAAAAAUGAAAAAUAAAUGGAAAUUAUAAAUUUUAAUUUUUCGUCGUAAAUUAACCGUCGUAAGUUAACAUAUCUACCUGAUUAAAGAAGCAAAAUAAAUUAAAAUAAAGUGAUUUUCUUUUCCGUCGUAAAUAAGCCGUCGUAAGUUCAUAUAUUUAUAUAAUUAUAUCUGUUUUAAAAAAGGAAAAUAAAUAAGAAUUAUAAAUUUUAAUUUUUCGUCGUAAUUUAACCGUCGUAAGUUAACAUAUCUACCUAAAUAAAGACAAAAAAUAAAUGAAAAUAAAGUAUUUUCUUUUUCGUCGUAAAUAUGUCGUCGUAAGUUAACAUAUCUACCUAAUUAAAGGAAAAAAAUAAAUGAAAAUAAAUUGAUUUUCUCUUCCGUCGUAAAUAAGCCGUCGUAAGUUCAUAUAAUUAUAUAAGUAAAUCUGUUUUAAAAAAGAAAAAUAAAUGAGAAUUAUAAAUUUUAAUUUUUCGUCGUAAUUUAACCGUCGUAAGUUAACAUAUCUACCUAAAUAAAGACAAAAAAUAAAUGAAAAUAAUGUAUUUUCUUUUCCGUCGUAAAUACACCGUCGUAAGUUAACAUAUCUACCUAAUUAAAGACAAAAAAUAAAUGAAAAUAAAAUGAAUUUUGUUUCCGUCGUAAUAUAACCGUCGUAAGUUUACCUAACGCAUUAACUCCCACCUUCCCACAUUGAAAUCAAACGGCAGGAUAUUCAUUUUUAAACAGAACUUACGACGGAUACGAUAAUUCCGUCGUAACUUACCAUAUAUCCCUCAGAAGCUACUGCCUCUUUCUCCCCAACAUCAUUUCUAUAUGCUCCUAACCAGAACCAAAAAAUAUGCUCAUGAUCAAAUAAAUGUGAUAUAACAAAUUACACUCAACACUUGCAUCAAUCAUUCUUGUAAGUAUUUAUUUUCUAUCUUUCCAUUUAAAUUGUAGAAAUUUUGAUCUUCCAUAUUUUAUUUUGAUUAAUAUAAUUUUUCAAUAUUUGUAUGUGGGCUUGUGUGCAUAUUUAUAAUUGAAAUUUUGUUAUUUAUUAUUUAUAGAUGUCUCCGGAUCGUAGUUGGAUCACUAUGCGAAUAAAACCCGGUGGAUAUGGUUUUACGGAUGAAUAUAAUGAGGGGGUUAAAUAUUUUUUGGCAUUUGCGCGAAGCAAUUCUAGUAAGCCGAAUGAUCCGAAUCUUUUGAUUAAUUGUCCUUGCAAUACAUGUCGGAAUGCAUUAUACCAACUCAUUCCCGAUGUCGAGUUCCAUUUAUUUGCAACCGGUUUUCUUGAGAGUUAUACUAUAUGGUGCUUUCAUGGGGAAGCUAGUGCGUCAAGAAAUGAACAAAUGGAUGAUCGCGAACCUUUUUCCGUCGUAAGUAUGUAGGACCCACGAUGUAAAUACGACGGAUUUAUCCGUCAUAUAUUAUGGUCUAACAAAAUUGAGCAGUGGGGUCCACAUGGCUGAUCUUACGACGGAAGUGAUAACUUGUGACACAAUUUAAACUACCGACCAAUUUUUUAACUUCAGACGCCAGCAAAAACGACGGAAACUUUCCGUCGUAAAUGGUACUAUUUACGACGAAAUAGGCGGAAAAAAUCUGUCGUAAUUGGCCAAUAUUGGUGUAGUGUUAGUAUAAAAUUGAAAAUUUGAAAUGACACAUAAAAAUCAUAUAUUGAAAUCCAAAUUUUAAAAAGAAAUAUAUUUUUCCAAACACAAUCAUAUAUAAACACAAAUAUUUCAAAUUGAAUCGCUGGCAUGGACAAGUAAUACAACAGUACACAAUUCACACAAAGUCUUCAACCAAAGAUUUACUUGAUGACAUGAACAAGUAAUUGAACAAUACACAAUCCACACAAACUAAGACGUCAAAGAGAGCAGCAGUAUAAAAUGGACACAAUCAAACAACAAUGAUUUGUUGCAUGAUCUGAACAAACAAAACAUCAACACAAAAUUCAAAUAAACAGUUCUAAUCCUAAAAAGACGCAUGCACAAAUCACAAUCUCCAACAAUGAAUCGACUCAGAACACAAUCUUAUUCCACACUGAAUUAAAAUGAAUAGUAGGUAUUCUUCGAAAUAUAUGGUAGCUUUGUUUUCGAGGCACAUAGUAUAUAUAGUCGCUAAUAGACCCGGAUAUGCAGAGAGGAGUAUUUUUGGAUUGACGCAGAUUUUCUUGCCACCUGCAGCAAAUACAACAAGUAGCAGGGUAAACACGAGGGAGGAUGAAACGAAUAAAUAAACACAAGAAAUGAAGAGUAUCACCGUGAGAAAGACUGUGGAACCAAUUAUGCACAACUAGAACUUACUGUUUGAUAGUUGUUCCAGUUAUGUACAAAUUCUGUAUGCCUAGCACUCAUAUUCUUUUUCAUCCAUAUCCCUGAUGACUGCCGGAUCAUCUCCCAGAAGAAUUGUUUCACGAGCGUACACCCCCCCACGUUGCAUUAAGGCCGAUCUAUGACUCCAACUAUAUAUGGAAGUAAUACAUUCUUCAGAUAAAAAAGUAGUGACCUCAUGGGUUGUUUCGUGGUAAUUCUUUGCAACAUGCUUUUUGAUAUCUGGAAAUCUCGCAGCUUCACAUAUCAUUAUGGCCAACUUUAUAAUAUGUUCAGCGGUGUCGCUCUCGUUCUCACCAAAUGAGUCCUCGGUCGUCAGAUGCUCGACUGCUUCUGUGAAGGCUUCUCUGUUCAAAUUCACUGUUGCCAAACGAUCCUUCACAUCUUUGAUUUCAGCAUCUGCUCUAACUCUCUUCAUCAUCAAUUUAAAGACAUCAGACAUUUCUUUAAGUUCUUUAUGGAACUUAACCACCUUAGCCUUAUCCUCUGUGUUCACCGCUUUAUAUCGGCCUUUCAGUGUAGCUUUUUCUGAAAGAAAAACUUCCUGUAUUCCGUCAUCGGUGGGGUUCGUUUCUUGUGUUCCAUCAUCUAUAUUAAAUUUAUUUUUUAGCAUUCUUUUCAGCUUGAUCAGGGCUUCAUGUUCCUCUCUCCAGUCCUCUACCGUAUAUCCUUUCGUUCUCUUUCCCCAAACUAUUGUAUCCUUUUUUUCAGCAGUCAAGCUACCCAAGAUGACGACUAUCUUGUUGAACACCUUUCCCCACAAAAUUAUUGAUCUUUGAUUCCUAUAAAAAGUACAAAAAUUGUUUACAUAAAAAUAAAGUAAUCAAAAUUUUAAUUAAAAAAAAAAAACCGAGAGAGUACCAUCACAGUUUAAGAACAAAACUAAAAGCAGUACCUCUGGUUUUCACUUGCCUCAGCUUCGUUCGGCGCCUGCCCCUGUUGAUUAUUAUUUUCAUAUUCUUUCUUCAGCUUUUCUAUUAGCUUUCCCAAAAGGAUAUGAUCCUCUUGCGGCUUUUUUACAUGAUUCAAAAAAUCUCGCGCUGCCUUGUCAUCACCCUCAAGUUCUUCUUCUAAACACUCACGAGUAAUAUCUUCUGUCACCAUUUUUAACAAGCUGUUAACUCUUUUGUAAUCUUCAGUCUCCUCCGGGUUUUCAUAUUUUUUAUAAUGGCUUUCAAUAUUCGAUUUUAUUUUCUUCAAUUUCUUGGUGGCGUAAUUUAUUUUUCUAUGUUCUUCUCGCUUUGCUAGUCCUUUGAAGCCUCCCAACUUCUUUAUCAAAUUUUCAUACAGUUCUGACUCUGGCACAGAAUCAUAAAAUGACGGAACAGAUUUACCAAACAAUGCAGUGUAUGAUGUACCCAGUUUAACCUUCUUUAGCGAGUCUGCAAUACAAAAACAAAAAGUCCAAAAUUAAAGAGAUGAAAAUCACGACGCAAAAUCAAAUCUGAGCCAAAACUGUGUAUGACUUACUCGGUGUCAGGAAGUUGCUGACAGACUCAGCAACUUGGAGAUGGUUUUUCCCAUCUAGAACAAUCCAGCAGUUUUCAGCACUCACUGUUCCAUUUUCUUGUUUAUAAUUACCCUUGUACCCGACUAAGUAGAGAUUAUUUUUCUUUAUCAAAAUCUCCAAAUCACGAUCGCCAUGCUUUAACCUUAACUGGAAAAGCCAAUUCUCAUUCUUCAAUUCCUCUCCCUUAAAUGUUCGUCGAGCGCUGUCCCCACAUUCCCUUGCAUCAGUGUAAUGACGAAACGUUGGCUUGAAACAAUUAUUAAUUUUCCGUCCCAACUCUUCAUCAAAGCACUUGUCAUCAUCAACUCUUUCAGGAUCUUUUUUUAUAUAACAUUCUGGAAAUUUCUCAAUUAAGCUUUGGAUGAACUUUUCGUACUCAGCUUUUUCUAUGUUAUCAAGGUUUAGAGUAAGCGGUUCAUCAAAUGAAGCCGCAGUGGGCUGAGAGGUCGAUGUCAUAUAAGCUUGAAGAGAUGUUAGAAACGAAGUGAGGGAAGAUAGUUUGUUAUUACAGGUCUUUCGGGAUUCAACACCAGCAAAUCUGCAACUACUAAUAAACUAAACUAUAGAAUGCCAGUUGAUAUUUAAUAUACUAAAGGUGAUUGUGAAGUUUUGGCUUUUUGGUGUAUGAUUGAUAUUGGAUUAUUAAACAAACCGGAGCCGGCGAAACCAAGGCUUUAACAAACAUAAACAAAAAAAGAUGAUGUGUUUCUCUUGGUUAACUAACAUAAUUUAUAGUUUUUACAAGCCAUCUAGAUCCUAUACCUGCAAGUCUGCAGAAUACUACAACUUACUGUUUGGUAAUUGCUCCAAUUACUCUAAAUCUGAUUUUUGUUUUUUCGUUUCCUGGUUGACUGCCGGAUCUUCUCAAAUCAAAAUUAUUUCACCAGCAUACACCCCCCACGUUGCAUUAAGGCCGAUCUAUAACUCCAAUUAUACACGGAAGUAAUACAUUCUUCAGACAAAGAAGCAGUGACAUCAUGGGUUGUUUUGUGGUAAUUGUUUGCAACAUGCUUUUUGAUAUCUGGAGAUCUCGCAACUUCACAUAUCAUCAGAGCCAACUUUAUAAUAUGAUUAGCGAUUUGUCCCUCGUCCUCACCAAAUCAUUCAUGAGGACUUGGUGAGAUAGUCGACUGCUUCUGUGAAUUAGACUAGUCUGUUCAACUUCACAUGUGCCAUAAGUUCCUUCACUCUUAUGAUUCCAGCAUCUACUUUAACACUCUGCAUCAUGAAUUCCAAGACUGCAUACAUUUCUUUAAGCUCUUUGUAGAACUUAGCCUGAUCCUCUUUCUUCACCGCUUUAUAUAGAGAUCUUUCAGUGUGUUUUUUUUUUGACAAUAAAUCUUCCAAUAUUUCCUCAUGGGUGGUGGCCCUCGUUUUUGGUAUUUUACUAGUCCCAUUUUUUUUUUUUGAGCAUUCUUAUCAGCUUAAUCACACAUUAAGUUCCUUUUUCAGGUCUGCUACACUUUUUUUACUCAUUUUCUCUUCCCAAUAUGCUGUAUUCAUUUUUCCAGUAGUCAAGCUACCCAAGAUGAAGACUAUCUUCUUCACACCUCUCCCCACAAAAUAAGCGAUUCUUGGGACAAUGGGUUUCUUAUAUAAACUAGUUUACAGAAAAAUAAAGUAAUCAAAAUUUUAAUUAAUUAAUAAACCGAGAGAGUACAUUCACAGUUUAAGAACAAAACUCAAAGGAGUACCUCUGGUUUUCGCAUGCCUCUGCUUCGUUGGGCACCUGCCCUUGUUGAUUAUAUUUAUCAUCUUUUUUCUGCAGCUCUUGUAUUAGCUUUCCCACACGGAUAUGAUCCUCUCGCGGCUUUUUUAAAUGAUUCAAAAAAUCUCGCGCUGCUUUGUUGUCAUCACCCUCAAGUUCUUCUACACGCUCACGGAUAAUAUUUAUUGGCACCAUAUCUAACAAGCUGUUAACUCUUUUGGAAUCAUCAAUUACCUUCAGGCUUCCAUAUAUUUUUAUUCUCCUUUCACACUGCUCACUGUUUUCUUCCUUUCGUGUUUCAAUAUUCAAUUUUAUAUCCCCCAAUUUUGAUUUGGCGUAUUUUAUGUUUCUCUCUUCUUCUCACUCUACUCGUGCUUUAAACUUUUUCAACUUGUCUUUCAUCUUUUAAUACAGGUCUGACUUUGGCGCAUAAUUGUUAAAUGACGGAUCAGAUUUCCCAAACAAUGCACUAUAUGAUGUACUCAGUUUAACUGCCUUUAGCGAGUCUGCAAUACAAAAACAAAAGGCCAAAAUUAAAGAGAUGAAAAUCAAAACUAAACCAAAACUGGAUACGACUUACUCGAUGGCAGGAACUUCCUGACAGACUCAGCAACUUAACAAUGAUUUUUCCCUUUUAGAACAAUCCAUAGUUCAGCACUCACCGUUCCAUCGUCUAUUCGUCUUCUUUAUAUUUACCCUGUGCCCGACUAAGUAGAGAUUAUUUUUCUUUAUCAAAAUGUCCAAAUCGUGAUCCCAUGCUUUAACCUUACUUGGAAAAGUGAAAACCCAAUUUUUUUCUGCAACUCCUUUGGUUUAUAGGUUCGUGAAACGCUUUUCUUGUCAGUGGCCUCACCUUCCAUGCUUGCAGCAGUUUUAUCAAACAUGUCCAGGAAACAUUUUUCAAUUUUUAGUUUUAACUCUUCAUCAAGGCUUCGAAGAGAUUUCGCUACAGAACAUUCCGGAAAUUUCUUAAUUAAGCUUUCGAUGAACUCUUCGUACUCAGUUUUGUAUUAAAGAAUUGGAUUAUAAGUGAAAAGUUAAUUUGUAUUUAUAAGUUAUUAAAAGUGUUUGGGUACCGUGACUUAUAAGUCAAGUAUUUCUAUUAGAAGAAGCUGCAACCUAAAAAAAAAAAAAGCUAGCUUUCCUUUCUUUUUUUUUGGGCUUCUUUAGCCUCAGUAUAAGCGCUUCUAUUAAUGUGCCAAACAGUCUCAUUUAAUCAGAAGCUUGCUUCUAUAUAGAAAAAGCCUAGAAGCCAGCUAGCCAAACACCCACAGUUUGUCAUUACAGGUCUUUCCGGAUUCAACACCUGCAAGUCUGCAACUACUAAUAAACUAAUACUCCCUCUGUCCCCCUAGGUAGUUUACCUUCGGGGACGAGAGUUUGACACACAUUCUAAUACUCCUAGAAAACAUAGUUCCAUAACUUAUUUUUAAUCUUUUUUCUUUUGAACAAAAAUUUUAUGUUUGAAUUUUUAAACACAAAGAGAAAAUCUCAAAAAUAAGUUAAAUACUAUGUUAUAUAAGAACCUUAAAAUGCGUGUCAAGCAGUGCAAAAAACUAUAAAGAAAUGAGAGGGACGGAGGAAAUAUAUAGAAUGCCAGUUGGUAUUUAAUAUAUAGUAUGAUUGAGAUUGUGUGCCCAUGGGCACACCAUAGAAAAACCGUAUUACAAAAACCGGAGCCCGGGAAACUAAGGCUUCAACAAAAAUAAACAAAUGAAUAAAGAUAAUGGUAAGUUGUUUUGGUUCACACACGUACAUAGUCGGGUUAUUCUCGACUGUUAAUUAUAAUAUAGUCAGGUUGUCUUAAUUUUAGGGUUCGAGGCAAACGCUGGUUUGCACAAUCCACACAUAUAUAGUCUUGAGAAACAACAACAUAAAAUGGAAACAACAAUGGUUUGCUGCAUGAGCUAAACAGACAACACAUGAACAUAUAAUCAAAAAGACAAUUCCAAUCCCAAACAAAGAUAUGCACAAAUCACAAUCCCAAACAAAGACCUGACAAAUCAACUCAGAAGACAAUCUUAUUCCACACUGAAUCAAAAGUAGUAUGAGAUUCUUCUGCAUGCCAUCUUUGCUUUCCAGACAAGUAGUCCAUAGAGUCGGGUUGUCUCAAUUUUAGGGUCUGAGGCUAACGCUGUUAAUUAUAACUCUUUACCUAAUCCCUUCCACUCUCUUGCUCUGCUAACUGUAACCGCCUUCAUUAAAUCUUCCAACCCGAAAUCUCUUUCACCCUUGUAACUCCACCCACGUACCAUUACGCCUGAUAUAUCACUCCACAUAUUUAUCAGAGCAACAUUUUUAUCACUCAAUUUAGAGCCUAAUUCAAGUGUGUAACUGCGUUUAAUGUGCUCUGCAAUUGGUUCAAAUCUCGUAGCUUCACAUAUCAUCACCACUAAAUGAGUAAUAUGUUUAGCGAAAUCUUUUUGAUCAUCCUCAUCAAAUGGAUACUGAGUGAGAUGCUCAAAUGCGCGUACUAAGGCAUGUCUGUUCAAUUCAAAUUCUUUGAUCUUUUCAUUUUGUACCCUGCAGCUGGCACCAAUUCCAAGAGCCUUCAUCUGAUUUUCCAAGACGUGUCUAAUCUUUUCCAGCUUUUCAUAGAAGUCAUACAGAUCUGUAGCCAUCAUCACUUCCCUAUAUGAAUCUAUGAUGCCCCUAUCUAAUUUGGCGGCUUUAUCCGUUUCCAGCAGCUGACCACAUUCCUCUUCCAACUCUUCCGUAAGUAUCUUUUUAAUCUCUCCAGUAGAACCAUCUUCCUGGGGAAUUACUUUUUCAAGUAAUUUUAUCAGCCUAAUCUUUUCAGGGAGAUCUUUUUUUAGCUCUUCUUCUGUUUUCCCUUCCCUUUUCCUCUUCUUCUUUUCUUUCUCCUUCCUUUUUAGCAUAUCUUUGUUUGUCUCUCCGGUUUUCGUUUCUAUUAUUAUUUCAUAACCCAAGGAACUUAAGAUUUUGACUGCCUCUCGGAUCUCCGUUUCCCAUGGAAUGAGCGAUUGAUUGAAGUCACUAAAAAGAAUAUUUGCAUAAAAGAAAGUAAAAAUAAUUCUCACCUCAUGUGUGAUUCUGUAGUAGUAAUUAGUUCUUUAAAAUGAACUAUAAAGCAUCUGUAUAAAUAUGUAAACUUGCCUUUCUUGUUUUUCCUCAUCUGUUCCAUUCUGCCUUUGGCUGAGAAAAAGCUUAUGUUUCACUUCCAGCAUUUUUACAAGCUUUUCCAUGGCAUCCCUAUCUGAUAUCCCUCUUAGCUUUUGAAAUCUCUGUCGCCAAAAUUUCUUAAACUCUUCGGCCUUUUUGUCACCCGCAGGUUCACUCGUCUCCAAGGAAUAAUUUCUUUUUCUCAGCCACUCUAACAAGUACUCUGCUCUUUUGUACUGAUCCACUAGUUCCUCAUCUGGAAUUAACCAUUCCCAAUUUGACUCAAGUUCCUCUCCCAGCAUAGUUUCUUUUAUCGUUUUUGCCAUAUCCGUUUUCAGUUUUUGUAGUAUUCCAACAAUGUAGUCUGUUUUCUCAUCUCCAUUUAACAUUUUCAAUCUACCUGUCAAUCUCUUGUACAGGUUUUUGGCCAGUGCCUUUUGCUUCUUUGUUUCUAACUCCGAAUCAAAUGGGCUCAACAAUGAAAAAUAUGAUGAACCCAAUUUAACUUCUUUAUACUUAUCUGCAAAUACAAAAAACAAACUCCAAAUUAGGGGAUGUAUUCAAUUGGAAUUUUAAAUUAUGCUACAAAAUCUGGUGGUAUUCAAUCGGGAUUUUAAAUUAUACUUUAAAAUCUGACGGUAUUCAUUUGAGAUUGUUUAAAACUCAUUAAAAUCUGAUGGUAUUCAAAUACUAAUGGUAUUCAAAUACUAAUGGAUUUUGUUGGACUUCAUGAAAUGGUGGCUUUUGUAGAAUUGUUCAGUGUAUUUUAAGUUUUUGAAAUCUAACCAAAAUCCAUGAGAUUUUGUAACACUUUGCUUAAAUCCUAAAAAAUCUAUAUCAACUCUGCGACAUUUUAACAAGAAUCCGCACAAAAUCAAAAUAGAAUACAUCAAUCUAUUAAAAUCCAUAGACUAAGAUCAAUCCAUUUAAAUUCAUAGACUAAAAACAUUCCAUUAAAAUUCACAUAGACUAAAAACAAUCCAUUAAAAUCUACAAAUAAAAUUAGGAUGCAAAAUCAGACCUGGACCAAGAAUGUCGUAUAUUACUUACCGGGAGUUAGAAAUUCCUCAACAAACUGAACAGCUGCCUUACAACACCCCCCGCUUAGAAUAAUCCAGUAAUCAGCAUUGUCAUCUAUCUUCGCCUUGUCAUCUGGAUUCAGCAUAGCUUCUUCCUCCUUCAAUUUAUAUUUCCACUUGUACCCGACUAAAUACAAACUACUUUUUUGUAUCAAAAUGUCCAAAAUGUGUUGGUCAUAAGUUAACCUUACUUGAAAAAACUUUUCACUAGCAGGGAUUUCCGCUUCAAGUGGGGUUUGUGCACGAGGAUCUUCACCGCAGUUGUCGUCCAUGUCAUCGAGCUUUGGAAGAUUCCAUCCGUCGAAACAUAAACCGAUUUGGUCAUUCAUUUCUUUAAAUAUUUCAGUUUCUCGUGGCACAUGCUUGCCUACGGUGUCACAAAGUCUCUGUCUUUUUUCUUGUGGAUUAUAUAUAUUGACAAUGCCUUUGAUGAACUCACCGUAAGCAUCACCUUCGAGUUUGUUAAGAUCUAGAUGAACCCGCAGCUCAUCUUUACCAGAUGAACCCGCAGCAUCAGGAUUGGUAUUUCUGUCCAUAUAAGCUUUGAAAAUGUUGGAAAAGAAGACUCUAACCCUAGCACCGCGGCACCUUCUAUAAACCCGAACCGAAUCCAAACGCUUUCCUUUUUCUUUUCUCUUCUCCUACCACCUAACAGGGCUGAGCAAACGGUACCGAACUUGUCUUUCAAACCGAACCGAAUUCGGUUCGAUUAAAGGAAAAUCGAACUUUAAAAAAAAUUGGAUGUUGAAUAGUUGAAUAGUUGGACGCCGCGCAGGGCUGCUCGGCGGAGCUCUGGAGGCGCGCAGGGCUGCGGUUUGUUCAACACCUGCAAGUCUGCAACUACUAAUAAACUGACGGUUUUUCUAUCUAGUAUAAGUUUGGUGGUUUUUGAUUGGCUCAUACUUCUUUAUAACGGUGGACCCUCCUGUGAAUUCACCAACCACACCAAUCAAAAUCCACCAAAAUUGCAGAAUUUGGUGCUUACCAUGUGCACAUGAGCACACACUAGACAAACCCAUAAACUAAUAUACAGAUUAAUGCAUGCCAGUUGAUAUUUAAUAUACAAAAGGUGAUUGUGAAGUUUUGGCUUUUUGGUUAAUAAACGAGGACACGACCGUAUGAUUGAAAUUGGCUUAUUAAACAAACCGGAGCCAGCGGAAACCAAGGCUUCAACAAACAUAAACAAAUGAAUAAAGAUAAUGGUAGGUUGUUUUGGUUCACUGCUAAGUGCUAAUAAGCUAACUCAGACACACACGUAUAUAUAGUCGGGUUAUUCUCGACUGUUAAUUGUAAUAUAGUCGGGUUGUCUUAAUUUAGGGUCUGAGGCUAAGGCUGGUCUGCACAAUCCACACACAUAUAACAUAUAAGUAACACAAAUGAAGUGAGGAAGGAUGGUGUGUUUCUGUUGGUUAAACUAACACAAUUUAUAGUUUUUACAAGCCAUCUAGAUCCUGCACCUGCAAGUCUGCAGAAUACUAGUAUAAAAUUGUAGGAAUCCUGUAUCAUUUUUAUUCCAAUACAAAUUAUAAGUAGUUGCCUUUCCAAAUUUCCAGAUUUUUUUGAAGUUUUAAAUUUUCAAAAUCGAAUAAAAAACGAAUUUUUAUAUUUUUUUUCAAUGUUUUUUAUUUUUUUUACAUUUUUCAAGAAUUCCAUUAAAAUCAACUGAUACUUAACAGCGCAGUGAUCUAAAUGCAAGUUUUUAUUAGUUAAGUGAGUUGACUGCAAGUUAAAUAUUGUUUUGCAAGUUAGUCAUGAGUUCAUUAAUAUUUUUGCCUAUUAACCCUUAUUUCUUCAAAAGAGGAUCUAAAAUAUUAACAAUUACAUGGAUUUUGAUUAAUAUACAUUAAUUUAACUUGUUUGAUUAAUUAAUCAAUUUAUUAGAAAAAACUUAUUUAAACAAAUAUAAAUCAACCUAGCCUGUUUGCUUUAACUUUAAGUGUUUAUUGCUAAUUAGUGAGAAGUUAUUUACAAGUGAAAGAUAAUCUUUUCGAUUUUUUUUGUUUGCACAUAAAAAUUACUCUCAAAUAUAAUAAUAAAACAUUAGAAAUUAUCUUCUAAAAUUGUCUUUUAUAUUUUUGUGAAAUAAAAAUUUUAAAACAAAAAUAAGAGCAUUAAAAUAAGUUAGCAUUUUGAAUUUUUGAUGUUCUGCAUCCUUUGGACUUUUAAGCCCAACCUAACAACACUAUAAUCAUUAUAAUUAGUUUUUUAACAAUACACUAAUAAAAAUAUUAAUAUAGUAAUCAUAUCUUUAUAAUUUAUUUUAUUUAGAUAUAUUCUUAAAAAUAAUUAACAAUUUAAAACCUAUUUUAAUUCAGAUAUACAUACUAUUAUAACAAAAAUCUCUCUACAUCUCAAAUAGUGAGAUCAGAGAAGACUUUCAUUUUACCCAAGUUGUAGCUCAAAGACCCUUGAGCAAUAGUUGCCAUGUUCGUCAAGAGUGGAGUUGUUCUCGCAAGACUUGUUUGAGAUUAAGCCUCUAUAGUUGUAUAUAUAGUUGUAAGUCCUUGUUCCCUUUUUUUUUUUUUUUUUUUUUAAAUGAGAAUAAAUCUCACAAAUAUGAACCGUCAAUUAAUUGUGAUAAUUCUUUCAUUCAAGAAAACUUAUUAUCUAACCGUCAGACAUGCAAGAUGACCGGAGAAAUUUAAACAAUAAAACUUUAAUGUCCGAAAAGAAAAAUCCGUCUUCUUCCAAGAAUUCUGAAAAUAAAACAAAGAAAACAAGAACAAUAUAAGUCAAUAUAUAACAAAUUAUAUAUAUUAUAAAAAUAAAAAAUAUAUCCAAUAAUUAAUUAUUAAUAAAAUCACGUGUAUAUACAUGUGGUGAUCAAAAUAUUCACACAAUUAUGAUAACUCAUAAUUGAGACAAUUAAACUUCAACUCGAGGCAUAUCCUUUUCCCCAUGUAAAUCUCAUUUGGUAUACCAUUACAUAAUCCCAUGAAGAUACAAAUCAACUUUCACACCACUAAAAUCUUUGAAAUACCUAUUUUUACACUUUUGACAUGGACAUCUCAUAAGGCCUUCAUCUUCAUCUUUAAGAUUAUCACAAACAAAUUUAAGAAAACUAUCCACACCAUUCUUGUAUCCUCCCGUUAUAUAUUGUAUCGACUAUGACCAACCUAACUACGAUCGGAUCAUGUCAUCUACAACAUAUACACACAAUUCAAUAUAAAUGCAAAUAAAAUAAAAUCACAAAAUUAUAAUUAACUCAUACCUAAAAUGUAUACUAAUACGCACAAUUAUACUAAUUUCAUCAUACAUGAGUAACAUCAAACAUUUAUACAAAUUUCACAAACAACUAGUAAAAUUUAGAUUGUAUACAUUUAUACAAUCAAACAUUCUAAACAAUACACUAUAUAAUAUAUACUCAUGUAUGAUGUUUGUGAAACAUUUAUACUAAUUUAGAUUUCUAAACAACUAGUAAAGUUUAGAUUGUAUAAACAACUAGUAAAGUUUAGAUUGUAUCAUACUAGAAUAUGAUAUUUACUUGAUGAUCUCAAAGAUUUGAUGAGAAGAAUAUAAUAUAUAUGAUGGCAUGAAAAAAGAAAAAUGGUGGAAAAGGGAGAAUAGAAGAGAGAAAGGAAAAGAAAUGAGAAAGGAAAAGCGGCAUGAAUGGGCAGUAGGUAUGCAAUCUGGGAAGGGUAAGAAUGACCGGUCCCGGUCAAAAUUAUAUACCUCACUGAAAAUGGUCAAAUAAAUAUAAACGAAUACAGCCAGUCAAUUUUAUAAUUUUCACCCUUCGGGAGUCGAACCUGUGAUCAAGAGGAUACAAGUCCCCUCUUUAACCAACUGAACCAACCCUUGCGGGCGUCUAUUUUAGCCUUGACUUGAUGACAUGCGAGUUUGACCUUAAAUGUGACUGCGUUCGGUCAAAAAUAAUCGGUGAAAAAUACCCGGUUUUUCUUGUAGUGGAUUUUAAACUCUCAAACUUACCACGUUAAGUCAUAAAUUAAAAUUUUAAACUCCGUCAAACAAGCUUCUAUUUUAUUUGAAUAUAUUUCAAGAAUAUUAAUAAUUUUAGUUUUAAAAAAAGGAAUAUAAAUAAUUUGGAAAAGGUACAUAACCUACUCAAUAUCUUAAAAUAUCAUUCCUGCUCAUUUCUCCAUGCUCCUUCACAUUUCUUGAUACUUUCACCAAAAUUAUUAUAAAUAUGGGUAUCGAUCUUGAACCAAAAUUUUGUUUUUAAAAACAUCUUUAAUGUAUAUAUGAACAAACAUAAAGGCCAAAAGAUUUGAGAUUGAGACCUUAUAUGUUCGACUAUGAAAAAGACGAAUAGACGAAUAGACAAGUAACAUAUAUGUUUGUUUUAAAAUAGAUGAACAUUAUGUUGACAUGUUUUCCUUCACGUCGACUUAUUAAAAUUUUCAUUAUUUGUUGGAUGAUUUUCGGGACGAACAAGACUGUUUGUGUAGUUCCCAUAUUUUUAUAAAUAUUAAUUCUAAAAAUAUAAAUAGAAUAUAUUUACAUAUUAUUUUAAAUAGUUAAAAUUAUAAUUUAUUUUAAAAAUAUAAAUAAAGUAUAUUAUUAUAUUAUAUUAUAUUUUGGUUAAAAAAUAUAAUUUAUUUUAAAAUAUAGAUUUGAAAUUAUUCACAUAUAUCUUUUUCUGAACUUUUUUGAUUUGCUUUUGUCUACGGCUAUUAACGAACCGAACUGUUCGCUAACAAGCUCGAGCUCGGCUCGUUAAGAGCUCGUUCGGCUCGUUAAGUUAACGAGCUCGAGCUCGAACACAAAAAUGUAUUCGUUAAGAAAACGAGCUCGAGCCGAGCUUUUAGUAUGUUCGGCUCGAGCUCGGCUCGUUAAAACUCGAAAAAUUGUAAUUUUUCUAAUUUUUUAUAAUACAUAUAUAUGUUAUUGAACUCAUAGAAACAUAUGAUAUAUCUAUAAAUUUUAGUGAUGUAACCAAAGUUUCGAGAAAUAAUAAUUUUAUUUGAUUUGCUAUUUUAACAGUCAAGUAGAAGUUUGACUAGUGUCGCUAACUAGUGUUUAACCCUAAUUUAGUGUUUUGAUAUUUUAAAAAAUAUUUUUUAUCGAUUCAACUGUAUGGAUGUUAACAUAUAUACAUUUUAUUGAAAUAACUAAAAUUUCAAAAAAGAAUACUCCCUUCGUCCCCCUGAAUAGUAUACAUUGGUGGACGGGGACGCGACACGGACUUUAAUGCUCCUGUAAAGUGUAGUUGUGUAAUUUAUUUUUAAAAUUUUCUUUUUCUGAAUUAAAGUUUGGAUGUUAUAUUUUUAUUCAGAAAAAAAAAUCUAAAAAAUAAGUUACGUAACUAUAUUUUAUAAGAGCAUUGAAAUGUGUGUCGAGCAGUUUAAAAGAAACGUAUACAAUUAAAUGGGACAGAGGGAGUAUUAUUUGGUUAUCUAUUUUAAGAGUCAACUCGCGGUUUAUCCUUCUUUUUUUUUUCUGGCUCGGUUCGGCACGGUUCGACUCGGCUCGACUUGUAUUUGUUCGUGAACAAGCACGUGUUCGGCUCGUUUGUUAACGAGCUCAAGCUUGAACACAAUUUUUGUUCGUUAACAAAGCUCGGCUCAACAGAAAAAAUAUUUAAAGCUCGGCUCGACGCGGCAAAAACUCAACUCGUCUCGGCUCGGUUCGUGACCAGUUGAGUGACUGCUAGACCGAGACCGUUACUGCACAUUGUAGAAUGUAGCUCAAUAAUUGCAUUUACAACCUACUCAAUUUCUCAGCAUCCCAUUUCUGCACAUUGUGUAGCUCAGAGAAGCUUCAGCAAUGGCUGUCAACAGAGGAGCUCUUCUCAUAAUGACUUGUUUCAGCUUAAGGCCUCUGAGUGUAAGACCUUGUCCUCUUUUAUCGUCUCUUUUUCAUUCUCAUUUUCUUCCUUUCUCUACUAAACCUAACCCUAAUUCACAAGUUAAACCCCCCUUUAUUCCUUCUCCAUCCACCACUCAUCCCGAACUUAAACAAUUACUCUAUCAUAAGUCCGAAGUUGGUUUCGACAAACUCGACAAUGCUCUUCUUGUGUUCGAUGAAAUGCUCCUUCUGAAAUCUAAGCUUUCUGUUCUGCAAUUCAACCAACUGUUAGCCGCCCUCGUUCGGAUGAAAGAAUACUCUGUUGCCGUCUCUAUGUUUAGAGAAUUCCGUGUUUUAAGCAUUCCUGUUGACAUUGUUACCUUUACUACUGCCAUCCAUUCCUGUUGUCACUUGAAUACACUUGAUUAUGCCUUUUCGUUGCUUGCUGGAAUCAUCAAGAGUGGUUGGAUGCCCGAUGCCUUUACCUACAACACUCUCAUCAAGGGCCUUCUAUCUCAAGACAGGCCUUUGGAGGCUGGGGAUUUGUUUAAUAAGCUUAUCACAUUUCAAGAAAUUCAGCCCAAUUUAGUUACGUAUAGC